UUCAAGUGAUAACAAUCAGGGUCGUCAGAUACCUGAAAGCUUUCUUGGGACUGAAAACAUUCACGAGGUUUCAAGUGAGUCAAAUAAUGUGGUUGCUGAGCAUCUUGAUCCUAAUUCACAUGAAACAUUUAGACUUUCAGGCGAUGAAAGUUGUACAUCUGUGCAGCCAUGUCAACAGCUUGGUGAAAACAAUGAGGACUCACUGGAUCUGCUGGUAUCACAUAAGCAUGUUGAUCCAAGUGAUAACAAUCAGG